UGGGGAAUAUUGCACAAUGGACGGAAGUUUGAUGCAGCGACGCCGCGUGGAGGGUGUAGGCCUUCGGGUUGUGAACUCCUUUUUCUCGCGAAAAAGGCACAGUUUUGGCUGUGUUGAUGGUAGUGGGGGAAGAAGCGCCGGCUAACUACGUGCCAGCAGCCGCGGUAAUACGUAGGGCGCGAGCGUUGUCCCGAUUUAUUGGGCGUAAAGAGCUCGUAGGUGGUUCGUCGCGUCUGUCGUGAAAGCCAGCAGCUUAACUGUUGGUCUGCGGUGGGUACGGGCGGGCUUGAGUGCGGUAGGGGUGACUGGAAUUCCUGGUGUAGCGGUGGAAUGCGCAGAUAUCAGGAGGAACACCGAUGGCGAAGGCAGGUCACUGGGCCGUUACUGACACUGAGGAGCGAAAGCGUGGGGAGCGAACAGG
rnacentral:rRNA from 1 species